UCUUCUAAAUCUAAACUAAAUCUAAGUUCCAACUUAUCUUGAUGGAAUGUCUUAAUAUUUUGGCGUGAAACUAUUUCCAACUGAAUUCAGCAAGAGUUCAGGUAAGAAAUGGUAUUUUCUAUCAAUGAAAUGUGCAAAGCUGUUACAUAUUACCUGAUGAGGUGUAAGUUAACGAAUGGGAUUUGAACAUGAUUGAUGCGCCAUGAGAUUAGUUUCCUCAAGCAACUACGAGGUGUGACUGAUGUGUUUUUACAUGACAUAGAUCGGAAAGUUGAAAUGAAAUUGUUGGCACACUUUGGCAUUUUGAAAUAAAUCCAGGGAUUGCCUUUGUUUCUAGAGUAAAUUUCAAUGGUAUCUUAACUCCGAUUUAGCUCUACCAAGAAAAUCCAGUUACCAUGUAUAUGGCAGUUAGCCAGAUUCUUGAAUUGCUAACCAUGCCAGAUCUGUGUUAGGAUCACCCGUAAAUGGCUUGAAGUUGACUUGAUGCUCACCCAAGAGGUUACCAGUUUGGUUGUGUUGUUGCUCGACCAAAAUGUUAAUUGUUGAAUUGAACACUGCACACCGUUUUUGUCGUGCGAAGACUGCACACCGUUUUUUUCUCAAAUGGAAUUGAACACACCUCUGACACACGUUUGCUCUUCAAUAGCUCCCCAGGCGUAUAAGGAAGUCUUGGUAGUUUGAAUCAUUCUAACAUUUAUAUAGUGAAUGAGUUUCACCAUUCACAGAGAUCUCCAACUAGAUUGUUUGUUACUUUUUUUGUAUCACAAUGAUAUGAAACAUUCUCAAGCACAAUGCAUCUGUGCGCUAAUGUAAUACCAAGGAGCAUUGCAUGUGAAUCUUGCAUCUUGGUAAUCUUUGUCAUAUCUCCUCAUAUGUGCACUUUGGGUUUUAUGUUUGCCCAUUAUUUUUCUAUAACUGUAGUACCGUUAUUGGACCAAUUAACAUGAUAUAUACUGUGGGUUUGGAAA